rnacentral:rRNA from 1 species
UACGUAGGAGACAAGCGUUAUCCGGAGUUACUGGGCGUAAAGGGCGUGUAGGCGGUUGAGUAAGUUAUCUAUGAAAGCCCGUGGCUAAACUGCGGGAGGUUAGAUAAGACUGCUGAACUAGAGUGGACUAGAGGAAGACGGAAUUCCGCGUGUAGUGGUGAAAUACGUAGAGAUGCGGAGGAACACCAGUGGCGAAGGCGGUCUUCUGGGGUCCAACUGACGCUGAGACGCGAAAGCAUGGGGAGCGAACGGG